UUUUUUUUUUUUUUUCUUUUUUUUUUUAACAAAUACAUGGAAUGCUUAUGUCCUUUUGACCUUAGUUUACAAGGGUACAUGCAGGAGAAUGAGCUAAAUAUUUUAAAUAUUUUCAAGCGGGUUUUUUGUCUGCGUAUGUGUGGUAAAAGCACUUAUGCUGUCAGAAAGAGCAAAAUAUAAAACCAAAGGAAAGAACAAGCAGGGUCGUAAGAAAUACAUUACAAACUGCACAUAAAGAAUAUAUCACUUUCCAGAGGUCUCUGUUAUCAGUGUACAAAUAGAAGCCAAACCUCCAAAAGGCCUUUAUCUCUUUGUGCACAGCAUGAGGAUGCCUCCAUUUCCUCCUGCUCUGCUUCUGGCAGAAGUGAUCAUUGCUGAGUCCCUGUCUUUUAGCAGGAGCUAGAACUUGUGAAGCACUGUUCAAUUUAUUUUUUGAGCCCUUAUCCAUCUUGGUAUAAUUAAAUUAUAUUACCUGGUGUGUGAAAUGGCCAGUUUGCAAUUAAUUGUAAAGUCUCCUUUUUAAAUUUGCUUUGUUGUAUCUCUUUUCUUGACUGUUGACAUUCCUCUCUGCUCUGUACUUUGUCUUCCUCCAUCAACUCGUCUGUUCUUGGAGCUUGUGUCCUCACUGUGUAAUCUCAUUUGUUCCUAUUCCUGUGAUGUGAUGACAUAUGACAACUGACUAUUCCACCAAGUCCAUUUUUUUUUUAAACCACAUUAGUGCUUUAAUAAACUGGAAAUUACAGAACUCAUGAAGCACAAGUUUAUUUAACAGAAUUUAUUUUUAUUUAAUUAAAUAUUUAAAAUAUUUUUGUAUCAGCUCAGUGGAAUAAGAUUUUUCAAUAGUAUUAAAAAUGUUUUUUCCAUGCCUUCCCUGUAAUUUAAUCAUUAAUUAACAUGCAAGAGAAAAGACAUACAGAGAUCUCAAUACUAAUUUUCACUAAGGAGUUCCUGUCUCUCAUCUCUGGCAUCUUGCUGCUGUUGUUUCAGGUCUUUUGCUCUGCUGUGCCAACACAACCACAUCAGUGAGCUGAUUUAGUUAAAAAAAUAUUCCACAUUUUGCCUCAGAAUACUUCUAAAGAUCAAUCAGUUCCUGGGACAAUAUUACUGUAUAAACUGACACAUCCUGCAGAGCUGAGUAUCCAGACAAAGCAUAGAUGCCUUGUUUCUUUACACUGUGAGACUUCUAUUCCUCUUUUAUGGGAAUACAUUUGAAAGUAUAUUUUGGAAUAGUUCCUGACUUGAGAUUGCACAUGAUAGCAAUGCAGCUUCUUGGUUGUCCAUUCUAUGGGAUGUCUGAUCCCAACUCUCUUUUUGAGGGACACUGUGAUAGUAUUCCUAACUAUUUUUUUUACAAGCAAUAUGGGUACGUAUUGUAGAGUUACUAGAUCUCAAGAAGAAAAGAUCUUUGCUCUCCAAAACCUUUAAAAUCCUCUGGACAGAAAUGCCAUUAUAUUGGUAAAGUAUGGCUGGUGUUUGCAUUUCACCACUCACUCUUUAUGUCAAACUAUGAUACAACUGUUUGAUGGAAGCAGAUGCACAUGAGGAACAAGGUGGCCACCAUCCUGUGCACUCCAGUGACCAUCCAGUCAUUGACCUAUCUAAGAUAUGGAAAUGAAAACAAAAAUGAAAAUCACAGGAACAACUUGGAUCCAAACCAAUUUAGAUUAGUUAGAUCCUCUUAAUUUAGUUUAGUUAGCAAAAAAAGUCUGUUCUAUACCCAGACAUUAUUAUAUCCAGCUGUCUUUAAAUACAGAAAUUGGUUGCCUAAACAAAGAGAAUAUUUUCUAACAUAGUCCUGUCAGAAGAGGAAAGUGAGUUUAGCAGAGACUCAGUAUGACUCAAGGUAAUGUAUAAGGUUAUACUGUUAAAAAGAAUGCACUAGUUGCAUUUUUAAUAUAUCUAUCCUUACUACAAAUACUUGUAAAAUAGGUAGUGUAGGUGUACUUUUUUAAACGGAAAAUAAUUGCAAAAACAUCUUUCUUAGAAAUAAAAGUUAUCUGGAAGGUUGUGAUGUCAACUUCUCACCAUUAUGUUCUUUCAUACCCUUCAGUGGAAACACAAGUGUGCUGUAAAACAUUAAUGCAACUAGUCUUUGCUGUGUACAAGGCUGCAUUUUUCCCAUGUUGCAAGUUGUUUGGAGUGGCAGGCUGCAGAAAAGAAGUAUUGUUUCUCCUUAAACAUUCAUGACAAGAAGUUUAACCUUUAUGGAACAAAAAAGAGUGAGGGCCAGUCUUUUUCACCCUAUCAUCUCAUUAAUAAUAUAAAAAUGACAUCUACCUGCCUGGCUUUACUUUCUGUUGUGAAGUGGAAGCUGUUCAGAUAGCAACAGCAGCAAAGUGUUAUUACUAUGUAUGUGUGUGUGUAUAUAUAUCUGUAUAUAUGUACAUCAAUGUUUUGUGUGCACUUUUGUGACCUUGGGUUCUUGUAUCUCCACAGAAGUUGGUGUAACUUACAAGAAAAAAAAAAUCACAUUUCCAUCUGUUUUUCUAGCAUCAGAUUGGCUCAUCUUGGGUUUUCAUGCUGCAGUAUUUUCACCUCAAAACCAUGUUGAUUUUUUUACAUAACAGAAGUAUAUGAAGGUAAGGUCACAGAACACAAAAAGAGACACAAGAUACACCAUGAUACAUUUAGAAAUCCUUUAGUUAUAUUCCAAAGGAGUACAGAUUCCUUAAAAUAAGAAGAUAAUUCAAGAUUUCUUGAAAAACAGGGGAAGAGUUUGCAAGUCUGAAUAAUCUAGGCAGGGUAUAUUUGCAGUACAGGCAUUUCAUCUUUUCAGCCUGUAGGUGGGACUGUGUUUUCAGCAAACCCAUCUGUGAAAAAAAUUCUGAAUUGGCAUCAGGCAGCUCAGGCUGUUGCUAAUGCUGGCUGGAGUGAGUCAAGUGAUUCUUGACUUGUAUUUGAGUUAUUUCUGGAGAGAAAAUAGCCUCUGUCCGAAAUUACUUUAGUUGUUAAUGGGCUAUUCUGAAAUAUCUGUUCUCACUGCAGUCUGUGGGCAUUCUGCCUGCUACAAAUCUGCAACUGCAGAUUUGUUCCUACUAAAAAGCAUUUAUGUAGCUGAAAAAAAAAUGUCUGUGGAGAAAUGUUGAAUUUAUAGCUAUGGAAAAUACUGUAAGUGAACUGAUGAUGGUGUAGUAAGUGACAUUUUGAAUUGGGAUUAACAAGUAAAUUCUCAUGCAUGACUUCUUGGCUUAGAAAAACAGGUCCCUCACAGGCUAGGAUUCUUUUUUACAAAAACACUUAGGGCAAAGGGGAAGAGAAAUGUUUAUAGCACUCUAGGCCCACAGAGACACUGACUCCCAUAACACUGAAUGCAGUUACUCAGGUGAGUAAGAACCACAUACUAUGGGCCAAAUGUUAUUAUGCAAAUACUGAAAUUGGACUCUGAUGCUACUACUGCUACACAGUACUGGCUAGAUGCCUUUUGUUUCUUGUUUUGCCUCAUGCUGGCCCUAUUUCUCCCACUCUUAUUCAUUCCCAGCAGUACUUUACCUCACAAGGAGCAGCCCGUGUAAAGGGGCAGCAGCCCUAUCAUUUAUGGGGUUACUAUCUCUUCUGUUUUGUUUACACAGCUUACAUUGAAAUAAGACAGCUAGGAGAGUAUGGAGCUCACACGUAAAAUAUAUUCUGCUGAAGGAAGAAGGAAAUUAUGAGAGAUCCAACCAGAUUUUGAUGCUGUAAACACAUGUGUUGGGUCACCAUAAAGCAAUCACUACAAAGGUCAGCAUUUCAAAAUGUGUCUUAAGAAAAUGUUUUUGCUAGCUUUGUGGUAAAGAUUGCUGGUGUGUUGUAUAUUGUAACAUUCUAUUUAAUCUCCUCUAUGUUAUACAGAGCCAUUUCCAACAAAAAAUGCCUGACAUAACUUACAGCACAGGAACACACAAAACCAGCUUCACCAGGGUGGCUGUUUAUGUAAUCUUCAAGAAUACUCUGAAGUUUGAUUCAGUAAAUCAAAUAAAACGAUGAGAGGCACAUUUCUGAGACACUACCCAUCUUUAAAUUUCUGAGCUUCUUUAUUGUACCGAGCCUUGUUAGAUAAAUGUUGAUGAUUAUUUCUGUACAUCAUGUUAUCUGCUGUUCUCAUUCCACUUCUUGGUUGUAAUUGCACAAGUGCUUUGAGCUUUCUUUUUUUUUUUAAUUGAGGCAUCUUAAAGGUGAGCAGAUGGUCACCACAGAAGUGCAGGUUUCCCAUUCACAGCCUGCACAGCGAAGGCAACAACAAAAGUUAAGUUUACACAUACUGCCCUGACAACGACCUCUGUGCUGAACUAAACAAACCCCUUCUGUAAAUCCAGGAGCAUUUCUCUCCCCUUUCGAACACAAACCUGGCACUCUCUAGAAACCAUAAAAAAAUCAAACUGGGCAGCCCUGCACUGGCUUUCAGGAUGUGUGCUGCUGCAGGACACAAAAUGCUCCAGGGCGCCAUCCUUUAAGAGUUGCAGUCAAAAAGCAUCAGGUGUUCCAAAGCCUCUUUCACAAAACAAACAUCUUGCAUAUUUCACAUCACUUUAUUCCAGAAAAGGCUAACAAAAUCUGAAGCAUAGCAGUUUUAGGCCAGUGAGUAGAAUUGAACAGGGAUGAUCUUAGGUCCAGGAAGUGUUGUCCUAGUAGUUCCAAAGGUUCUUUUUUUUUUCCCGGUAAAAUAAUCUCAGACCUCUCCUUCACUGGGGUUAACCUCAGUUGCUUGGGGCGUGGGAAAUGACUCUCAAGGCAGUGGGAAAUGACAAAGACCGGCAUCCAGACCUUCUUGUCACAGGGGGCUCAGAAAGAUUCCAAAGGGA
rnacentral:lncRNA from 1 species